rnacentral:rRNA from 1 species
CGGUAAUUCCAGCUCCAAUAGCGUAUACUAAAGUUGUUGCAGUUAAAAAGUUCGUAGUUGGAUUUCUGCCGGGACGGAGCGGCCGGACCCAACUUGCAUCUCGAGCUAGGGCUUUCCCCGCAUCCUGCCGAGAACCGCGCUACCAUUAUGUUGGUGGCGCUGGCCAUCGGUUCGAUUACUUUGAGAAAAAAAGAGUGCUCAAAGCAUGCCACACGCCUUGAAUAAGUUAGCAUGAAAUAAUGACUAACGACUUCCGAUCUAUUUUGUUGGCGUACGGGACUGAAAGAAUGAUAGAUAGGGACAGUUGGGGCGGUCUGUAUUCCAAAGAGAGAGGAGAAAUUCUUAUACCUUCGAAAGACAAACGGCUGCGAAAGCGUUCCGCAAGGAUGUUCCCUUUGAUCAAGAACGAAAGUUGAGGGAUCAAAAACGAACACAUACCGACGCAGACUCAACUAUAAACUAUACCAGCUAGGGAUCGGUCAACGUUUAAUUAUUCCACUCUGAUCGGCACCUUAUGAGAAAUCAAAGCAUCUGGGUUCCGGAGAGAGUAUGGUCGCACGGCUGAAACUUAAAGGAAUUGACGGAAGGGCACCACCACACGUGGAGCCUGUGGGUUAAUUUCACUCUCCACGCGAAAACUUACCACAUCCACACAUAGUAAGGAGAGACAGAGUGAUACAUCUCUCUUGAUUCUGUGGGUGGUGGUGCAUGACCGUUCUUAGUUGGUGGAGUGAUUUGUCUGGUUAAUUCCGUUAACGACCGAGACGCCAGCCUGCUAAAUAGCGCGGUUGAGCUUUUCUCGGUGCGAGCUUCUUAGAGGGGAUAUGAUGCGCGAUAGCACAUGGAAGUGUGGGGCAAUCACUAGCUCUGUGAUGACCUUAGAUGUUCUGGGCCGCACACGGGCUACACUGGCGCAUGCAUCGAGCAUAUCAGCUGGUCCGAGAGGAUGUAGGGUAAUCUUUUGAAACGGCCCCGUGCAUGGGAAUGGCCUUUGCAAUUGUUGGUCAUGCAACGAGGAAUUCCUAGUAAACGUGAGUCAUCAGCUCGCAUCGAAUACGUCCCUGCCCUUUGUACACACCGCCC